GUUAUUAUAUUAUUUAUCACUUAAAUAUCAAGUUUAUGUGGGUUGUUUUAAUAUAAGUUAUGAAGGUACAAUCUGAGAUGAUUUGGCUCAUGGCAAAGGUGUUUAUAACGCUGAGCAAGGGCUGGUCAUGUUUGGUUAUGUUGUGGAUAUUCUUGGAACCUACAUAACGAUUUCAAAGGUCAUCAUGCCAAAAUGAUCAAAGACCUUCACCACCGGUUGAAAAUUUUUACUAACGUCCGAUUAAGGUUCUCUAUACGGGUCCGUUGAAGAUCAAUAUUCAUCAUUGGAAUGCUUACAAAUGUCGGUAAUAGGGGAUUUGAGCGAAUUUAUAACAUUCUCAAGUGGACAAUGGAACACGUGAUGGAUUAGUCGAGUUUCUAAGAACUGCUGCCAAAGACCCAGAAUUAGUUGUCCACUAUGAUUUUAUGCAUGUUAU
rnacentral:lncRNA from 1 species